rnacentral:rRNA from 1 species
GGGGGGGGGGGGGGGGGGGGGGGGGGGGGGGGGGGGGGGGGGGGGGGGGGGGGGCGGGGGGGGGUGAGGGUGGCGUGGGAGGGGUGGGUGAGGCGUGGGUGGGCUACGUGUGGGACUUGGGGGACUUCGUGCAAACGGAGCGAGUACCGGAUAAUAUAUUUAACCGCGUGGUGCCAUAGUGGCAGACGGUUUUGCUGCCACUUCUAGAUGGGUCAGCGCCGCAUGCGCUAGUUGGUACGGUACCGGCUUACCCAGGCAACGUUGCGUAGCCGACCUGAGAGGGUGAUCGGCCACACUGGAACUGAGACACGGUCCAGACUCCUACGGGAGGCAGCAGUAGGGAAUCUUCCGCAAUGGGCGAAAGCCUGACGGAGCAACGCCGCGUGAGUGAUGAAGGUCUUCGGAUCGUAAAACUCUGUUAUUAGGGAAGAACAAAUGUGUAAGUAACUAUGCACGUCUGGACGGUACCUAAUCAGAAAGCCACGGCUAACUACGUG